GGACCUCAGAUCAGGCAAGAUUACCCGCUGAGUUUAAGCAUA
rnacentral:rRNA from 4 species